AAAAUGCUCCUUCAAAUAUAUUCACAAUCACGGUGUAUCAGUCAGGAAUCGCGGGGACAAACAGCUAUAAAACUAAUAGGUAUUUUAAUAGUAUGCAACGCCCUUUUGUUUUUAAGUGAAACUUUAUCCUGCGGACGGAAUGAAAAAUAAAAACUGUACACAUACAUUUGGAUUAGAAAUACACUAGUUUAUAAAGGAUAAGCCGAUCUGAUUGUUAACUGAGACAAAUUUUCAGAGAUGUUUUUUCGGACUUUAUUUAUUUUAUUCACGUGCACGUGUGUUGACGCAUCAAUACUAGCGAUAUGUGAUAAUGUGCCUAUAGAAGACCCAUGCUCGUGUCAUCAACAACAUGUGUUCUUAUCCGUUAACUAUACAGCACAAGUAGGAACCGCUGUGGCUGUUCUUAACGUUUCAACAGGAGUUACUCUAGACCCUUGUGACUACUUUAACCUAACAAGUGGACAAUUGAUUUUGGUAAAAGAUCUGAGCACCCCAUCAUGUGCUGUGUCACCACAGAAUUGUCAAUUAAACUGUCAAGUAAGGACUUUUUUCACGUGCUUUACGUGCUAUUUUACAUUUAAAAGUCCACUUGGGGAAAUCUACUUUUGUGUCAUCC